rnacentral:rRNA from 4 species
UCAAGUAAUUAAGUGCAUGUGGUGGAUGCCUUGGCAGUCAGAGGCGAUGAAAGACGUGAUAGCCUGCGAAAAGCUCCGGGGAGGCGGCAAAUAUCCUUUGAUCCGGAGAUGUCUGAAUGGGGGAACCCACCUACUUUAAGGUAGGUAUUGCAACAUGAAUACAUAGUGUUGCAAGGCGAACGAGGGGAAGUGAAACAUCUCAGUACCCUUAGGAAAAGAAAUCAAUUGAGAUUCCCUCAGUAGCGGCGAGCGAACGGGGAUCAGCCCAUUAAGUUAUGUGUGUUUUAGUGGAACGCUCUGGGAAGUGCGAACGUAGAGGGUGAUAUUCCCGUACACGAAAGGGCACACAUAAUGAUGACGAGUAGGGCGAGGCACGUGAAACCUUGUCUGAAUAUGGGGGGACCAUCCUCCAAGGCUAAAUACUCCUGACUGACCGAUAGUGAACCAGUACCGUGAGGGAAAGGCGAAAAGAACCCCUGUGAGGGGAGUGAAAUAGAUCCUGAAACCGCAUGCAUACAAGCAGUGGGAGCACCUUCGUGGUGUGACUGCGUACCUUUUGUAUAAUGGGUCAGCGACUUAUAUUCAGUAGCGAGGUUAACCGUAUAGGGGAGCCGUAGAGAAAUCGAGUCUUAAUAGGGCGUUUAGUUGCUGGGUAUAGACCCGAAACCAGGCGAUCUAUCCAUGAGCAGGUUGAAGGUUGGGUAACACUAACUGGAGGACCGAACCCACUGUCGUUGAAAAGCCAGGGGAUGACUUGUGGAUAGGGGUGAAAGGCUAAUCAAGCCUGGUGAUAGCUGGUUCUCCCCGAAAGCUAUUUAGGUAGCGCCUCGGACGAAUACCAUAGGGGGUAGAGCACUGUUUCGGCUAGGGGGUCAUCCCGACUUACCAAACCGAUGCAAACUCCGAAUACCUAUGAGUACUAUCCGGGAGACAGACUGCGGGUGCUAACGUCCGUAGUCAAGAGGAAAACAAUCCAGACCGCCAGCUAAGGCCCCAAAAUCAUAGUUAAGUGGGAAACGAUGUGGGAAGGCAUAGACAGCUAGGAGGUUGGCUUAGAAGCAGCCACCCUUUAAAGAAAGCGUAAUAGCUCACUAGUCGAGUCGGCCUGCGCGGAAGAUGUAACGGGGCUAAAACUAUGUGCCGAAGCUGCGGAUGUAUACUUUGUAUACGUGGUAGGGGAGCGUUCUGUAAGCCGAUGAAGGUGUGUUGAGAAGCAUGCUGGAGGUAUCAGAAGUGCGAAUGCUGACGUGAGUAACGACAAAACGGGUGAAAAACCCGUUCGCCGAAAGACCAAGGGUUCCAGUCCAACGUUAAUCGGGGCUGGGUGAGUCGACCCCUAAGGCGAGGCCGAAAGGCGUAGUCGAUGGGAAAAUGGUUAAUAUUCCAUUACUUCUGUGUAAUGCGAUGAGAGGACGGAGAAGGCUAAAUCAGCCUGGCGUUGGUUGUCCAGGUGAAAGGAUGUAGGCAUGUAUCUUAGGCAAAUCCGGGGUACUCUAUGCUGAGAUCUGAUAGCAAGCUGUACUUGUACAGCGAAGUGGUUGAUGCCAUGCUUCCAGGAAAAGUCUCUAAGCUUCAGUUACACAGGAAUCGUACCCGAAACCGACACAGGUGGUCAGGUCGAGUAGACCAAGGCGCUUGAGAGAACUCUGCUGAAGGAACUAGGCAAAAUGGUACCGUAACUUCGGGAGAAGGUACGCUGUUGUUGGUGAUGGAACUCGCUUCCUGAGCUGACGACAGCCGCAGAAACCAGGCCGCUGCAACUGUUUAUUAAAAACAUAGCACUCUGCAAACACGAAAGUGGACGUAUAGGGUGUGAUGCCUGCCCGGUGCUGGAAGGUUAAUUGAUGGGGUUAGCGUAAGCGAAGCUCUUGAUCGAAGCCCCAGUAAACGGCGGCCGUAACUAUAACGGUCCUAAGGUAGCGAAAUUCCUUGUCGGGUAAGUUCCGACCUGCACGAAUGGCAUAAUGAUGGCGGCGCUGUCUCCAGCAGAGGCUCAGUGAAAUCGAAAUCGCUGUGAAGAUGCAGUGUACCCGCGGCUAGACGGAAAGACCCCGUGAACCUUUACUGCAGCUUGACACUGAACUUUGACCUUACUUGUGUAGGAUAGGUGGGAGGCUUUGAAGCUGGAACGCUAGUUCCAGUGGAGCCGUCCUUGAAAUACCACCCUGGUAAUGUUGAGGUUCUAACUCUGUCCCGUGAUCCGGGACGAGGACCGUGUCUGGUGGGUAGUUUGACUGGGGCGGUCUCCUCCUAAAGAGUAACGGAGGAGUACGAAGGUGCGCUCAGCGUGGUCGGAAAUCACGCGUAGAGUAUAAAGGCAAAAGCGCGCUUAACUGCGAGACCCACAAGUCGAGCAGGUACGAAAGUAGGUCUUAGUGAUCCGGUGGUUCUGUAUGGAAGGGCCAUCGCUCAACGGAUAAAAGGUACUCUGGGGAUAACAGGCUGAUACCGCCCAAGAGUUCAUAUCGACGGCGGUGUUUGGCACCUCGAUGUCGGCUCAUCUCAUCCUGGGGCUGAAGCAGGUCCCAAGGGUAUGGCUGUUCGCCAUUUAAAGAGGUACGCGAGCUGGGUUUAGAACGUCGUGAGACAGUUCGGUCCCUAUCUACCGUGGGCGCUGGAAAUUUGAGAGGAUCUGCUCCUAGUACGAGAGGACCAGAGUGGACGAACCUCUGGUGUACCGGUUGUGACGCCAGUCGCAUCGCCGGGUAGCUAUGUUCGGAAGGGAUAACCGCUGAAAGCAUCUAAGCGGGAAGCCUACCUCAAGAUAAGAUUUCCCUAGGACUUUAUGUCCUCUAAAGAGCCGUUCGAGACUAGGACGUUGAUAGGUUGGAUGUGGAAGCAUAGUGAUAUGUGAAGCUGACCAAUACUAAUUGCUCGUGAGGCUUGACUA